CAACAUUCCAGGAAUGUACUACCAAAGUUCUAUCAAUAUUUGAAUGUCCUGGACAUUUAGGGAACAUUCGGUGAACAUCUGAUUAAAUUAUUCGUGGAAUGUUACCAUAAGACAUUCUGUGAACAUACUACCAAUGUUCCUGUUCAUUUUCAAAUUCACGGCGCAUGUAUUUGUGCAUGGUGCUUAGAGAGGGCAUCACGUGACUAAAAACGACCAAUGACCUCACUUCAGACUUCGGUUCGGCCAUCUUGACAUGCAUCUUGCCUUGGCCACCUUGCCGUGCGUGAUCGUUGUUUGUUUUUAUUUGUGCUUUUUAAGAAUAUUUUUUAAUUCGGAUACUUUUAUAAUAACUUUAAUAGUAUUAUUAAUAUAGUGCAUAAAAUCAGUUGGAGUAGCAGAAGCAAUGUAGAUAAAAAAUCUGCAGGAAUAAUGUUUCAAAGCUUUCCAGAAGAUCCUGCGAAGAAGGCAUGAAGUAUUGAUCAGAUUUGUUAAUAGAGCAGUAUGUUCAAAACAUUUUUUAGAAAAAGAUAUUGACAGAACUUCACUUUCAACCGUUUGAGAGACUGUGCUGUUCCAAUAGCUUAUAUCACACAGAAUCAGCUGAGAGAAGUGGUCUACAAAAAACCAGGAAGGAAAUGGAAUAUGUGGCUAUGAAAGGCAAAAGAAAGGUUUACAAAGCAAAUGUGACACAUUUUUUUAUAGGAAUAUCAGUAAAUUACAUUAAAAAAAUGUAUGAAAAGAUUUUUUGCAAUAAAAAUGUUUAUAUUUAUCAAGCAUGCAUUAUUUGGUAUGGCCACAUAUCGUCAGUGAUGUGACAAUACCUCCUAUCUGUUUUUUCAUGAGAUUUGUAAGAUAGACUAAAAACUUGUUUGGGCCACCUCCUGUUUUCAUAUAUUUUUUGACUUGUUUUGCAGUAAAUUUAACUAUCUAUUUACUACAAAACAAGCCAGAACUUACGUAUGCAAACAGGAGGUGACCUUAAAAAAUGUUUUUCGUCUCCUGCAAACCUCAUGAAAA